GGAGGAAACCUUAUUACUGUAGAGGUUGCCUCACUGUGAAAUCCAGCUUUCUUUCUAAUAUGUGUAUUAAUCAGCUCAGGCUGUCAUAACAAAAUACCAUAGACUGAGUAACUUAAACAGACAUCUAUUUUCUUACAGUUCUGGGAGCUGGAAUUCUGAUUAGAAUUCCAGCAGGGUUUGGUUUCUGGUGAUGGCUCUCUUCUUGACUUGCAGAUGGCCUCCUUGCUGUGUCCUCACAUGGCCUGUCCUUAGUGCAUCCACAUGAAUAGAGAUCGCCCUCUCUCUGUCUCUGUUAAUGAGGCCACCAAUCCUGUCGAAUUAGGACCUCACCCUUAUGACCUCAUUUACCUUAAUUACUUCCUAAAACCGUUCUCCAAAUAUAGUCACAUAUGAGCAUAAGGUUUCAACAUAAGAAUGGGGGGAAAUACAAUUCAAUCUUUAGCAGUUUGUUUCUACUGAUGUGUUUGAUCCAGUGGGUCCCAAACUCCUAGAGGUGUCAGGGAAAUGACAGACAUCCAAUGCCAAGGCCACUGAGAGGCCACCAUAUCAGUGUAUGCAGCAUCUAAUGGCUGCAUACAUUUAUCUGAUGUUUUCUGCUCAGUACCUGCCUUCUGUUGUUGCUUCCCUGUCCUGUCAUUCUUUUCUAUAGAGUAACCUAGGAAAAGCAUCCUUCAUGGAGUCAAAUAGUUUCUUUCAGACUCUGUGCCCAGUAAAUAUUAGGUCUUCAUGUAUCAUGUUAUUUUGCCUUCAUGUAUCAAGUUCUGUAAAUUAUUUGGUCUUCAUGUAUCAUAUUCUGUAAACACAAUGUCAGUUUCUUAAUCUACCCUGCACUGUGCCUACCCCAUGUCUACAUUGCAACCCCUGCAUGCUCACAUACAUUGACGUGAGCCUAUCUCCAAUAUUGAAGGGCCUGAGACAAAAGGACAAAGGGAGGCCACAUACCAUAGGUUUAAAUGUACUUAUAAAUUAAACUAAUAAUAUUCAACCAAUAUGUUCCAUUCUCCUACUCUCAAAACAUUCUGGAAGCUCGUGUUUGAAUUUAGAAUUCUUGGACUUUUCAGAAUUCAUUGUGGUAGUGUGGGGAGCAUCACCCUGUCCACACUGCACUGCAACCCACCUUCUUGUCACCUCCUAACUCUGUUUCAAAUGUCAGAACCCCACCCACCGCCUGCAAACACGCACAGGUGCUUGUCCAUUUUGGAAGAGAAUGAUAAAUUUGAACCUCAGUUUAUUUAGGUAUAAUAUUAAACCCAUGAUAUGUAUAAGAUAGAGCUGUCCAGAUACUUAAAUUAAGUGUUUUGAGCACUGGGUUUUGUACAUAGCAGGCUCUCAAUAAAUGGUUGUUUUCCUCAUUUCUUGUAAUUUUCCCUUCUCACGUACUAUUAUUCUAUGUCACAGUUGAAGAAAUGGAAACAUGGACAAAGAAUGGGUUUCAAUCCACAUGUGAUAUCCUGCCCCUUUUGUGUUAGGCAUGCUAUAAUGAAAAUGCUACAUGUCCAAGUACAGAAAACCUUUUAACAUUAAUUAAAAACUUCAGUGCAGAUCCAUAUGGAAACCCAUACCUUUCUCCCCUAAUCUUCCAGACACUAAUCUACUUUUUCUGAAAAGUAGACAAGAGAGGAAAUACAAAAAGGAACAGGAAUAAUAACCAAGUCUCAGGGUGUGUAUGUGGAUAACUUUUUAAUUAGGAGAAGGAAACAGUUAAAUUUAGCCUGAGAUGUGGGACUCCUAUUUUUAUCACUCACUUUUCUAGGAAAGCUGAUAUUUGGCUUUGCCAAUAGAGAAAAGUCACAUGUUAUGAAGAUGGCUGUGAAGGUAAAUUUCAACAGCUAUUCAGUACCUGCUGGUAAUCCCAGAUGUCAGGUAGAAGAUACUGAGGUGAGAGUUAGUAGAAAAGGAGGGGAAGCCCACAGGUUAGCUUCCAGAGGACGUCCUGGGCUUUCUUUUUUUUUUUUUUUUUUCUGUUUGCUCUUUCUUUAUUAUUAUUAUUAUUAUUAUACUUUAAGUUUUAGGAUACAUGUGCACAACGUGCAGGUUUGUUACAUA
rnacentral:lncRNA from 1 species